AACCUUUGCGCACGCCCUCUCUCUCUCUCCCUCUCCGUCUCAAAAAUGAAAGAUGCUCCUCUUCUUAGGCAAAACCCUCAAAUCUCUCGAUCAAAAACCUCAAAUGGUUCGAAGAGAACAAUAAAUCACUAUCUCCAUGAUCGAACGAAACUGAAGUAGGAGUAGAAAUAUGCGAAAGAACUUCACCAAAGAAGUUCCUGAAUCGACGACAAAACGAAAAAUUAAGUAUUACUAUGCAUUUGUUGUAUUUCAAAAAAGACGGGAGGUUUUUGGUGACUUCUCGAUUCUUAUGUACAAGUUUCUGAAGUUCUAACUUAUCUUUGGAUUUUCUAUUUUUGCCUUUUUGGGUCGAUAAUUUUGGCAAGGUGUUGGCAACGAAACAAAAUUGCAAGAAGAAGGGAAAUCUGCAGAAGAAGAUCAUCUAUCGACGUUAAUAAGAAGUUGGUUUCCCUUUCCGUUUCACUGGAAGAGCAUUUUUUGAGGUUUAUAUUCUCUUCAAAGAACUCUCUGUACGCAUCAAACUUUCAUACCCAUUUUCUUCAUGAGUUUCAUUCUCUACGAUUUUUACUUGA